rnacentral:miRNA from 1 species
CAGGAGGGUGGAAGGGAGAUGGUUCUGGUACAGAGGCUUGGGGCUAUGGUUAUGAGGGCUUCUUAGCAGUAUCUCCCAUCCACCCACCUGGG